AUACUAUUUUGACAGGAGAGGAGAAUAAGAAGUCAACAAGAAGCUAAGACCUCCUGUGAGUCAGCGUCAUACACCGGCUGACUGAGGGACAGCCAGAUGCCAGCCGUCUCCUGUGAGUCGACACCAUUCUCAGGCUGCAGGGGAGAAUAACAAGAACUCAACAAGCAGCUAAGACUACCUGUGAGUUGGCACCAUGCACAGGCUGACUAAGAAAGAGCCGGACGCCAGCCCUCACCUGUGAGUCAGUACCAUUCGCAGACUGUGGGGAGGAGAAUAAGAAGUCAACAGGAAGCUAAGACCUCAUAUGAGUCAGCACCAUGUGCAGGCUGACUGCAGGAGAGCCAGACACCAUCCCCUUCUGCAUGCAGGCAGGGAGACCGGAAGAGCCAGGGCACCACCUUUCCACCCUCCUCAUAAGCGACCAGCUGAUCUGGAGAAACACAGGUUGUGAUGAUAACUAAUGAGGACUAGGUCUUCUGAAAAAAGCAACAUGUGUAGCAGUGCCAAGAAUCAGAUUCUUUGAAGUAUCCAGCCCAUGAAAUCAACCUGCUGGGCUUUGGCCUGCCCGCCACCUGUGAGUCAGCUAUCCUGUAAAAGUGCCAAAGGCUCUGAUGUAAUCAGUUCUUAAACAGGUCCGACCACACCACCUCUACCAUCUUCUACCUUUCAUAUCCUUCCUACCAAAUUUCAUCACAAAAAACCUGUUUAGGAUGAAGGUAUCACAUCUCUCAGAUGUAACACUGGGAUUCCCCCUAAUCUUCUGCAUCAACUACCAGGCACAGAUAACUACACUUAUUUCAUAAAUGACAAUGAUGAUUAAUGACACCGCUGGGAGUUUUGGCCCCCAAAUCAGCAAGUGUUCAAAGUCCUAGCUUUAUGACACCGUGUAAAUUGUCAACUUUUGUUUGAGAUGUGGUCUUUCUAUAUCUAGGUGGGCCUUGAACUCCAGGGCUCAAGUGGUCCUCUUAUUUCAGCCCUCCAAUUAAGUUCUGGGAUACCUAGUUUGUCUAGUAACUUUAAGUUUUACUUUUCCUAUUAACAAAUUGUGGAAAACAGUAUUAACAGAAUCUUACAGAGUUGUUACAAAGAUUGAGAAACAUGAAUGAAAUACAUGUAAUGUUCUUGGAAUAAUAAGUGCCUUUCUUUGGAGUAAGCAGUCAAAUGUUAGCCGUAACACUAACUUGGGACCAGUGAACAAAGGAAAUUCUCAAUCUCCAUCCAGAAAGUUUGGGCGAAAAUUAAAAAGCUUCCAGCAUUAAUUAAGAAAACGUUCAUCCUUUUGAUCAAUGAACUUCUUCCUCUGUCUUUUGCAUUUUGACAUUAGCAGUAAACAACUUGAGUUUUCCCAUCAUAGCUUGGGUGCAGUCUUACUGUUAUGUACAAAAAGGAAACCACAUUUGGAGAUAAGGUGAGGAUUUAAAUAGCUGCACUGGUUUGAUUGUAGUAGGCCUAGAAGAUUCCAUAGGAAAACUUUAUAAUGUACAUGGCAUUGAGUUCCUUUAACCAGUUUUGUUCUGACAACUUUAUAGGAUAAUUCUCAUACCGCUUUUGGAAUUACUUAAAAUACUUGUUUUACAUGUUAUUUUCCUCCUCUAUGGCUAGACAUUUUCUUGGUAUGUUUUGUUUUGGUUUUAUUAUUUUUAAUCAUCUUUCUAUACUCUGAUAACAUUUCACAGAUAAGGACACUAGUUUCACAAAGUUCAAGUGAGUUUCUGAAUGGUGAGUGGUAAAAAAGGGAUUAGGAAAAAUUUCAUCUAUAAAGCCAGAGAAAUAUUAUCCACGUGAGACAAACUUUAGGACAAAUUUUAAUUUUUUUAUCAUUAACAUCACAUAGUUUGCACUUCAAAAACUUAGUAAGUAUGCAAUACUGACAAAAUAUAUAAAGCUGAUCAUUUGAUUAUAGCACAUAUUAAUAUACCUAAAAGAAGUUUAUGGAGUUGUUAGUUUGUAACAAUUUCUACUAUAAAAGCAUAACUGAACAUAGCCAUUAGUUAGUCCUCAGGAGGCUUGGUGUGUUUUGCUCAGUCUAUUAAGAAUCGAUAAAGCAUGUAGCAGUAUAUAAUACACACUGUAAAUAAAUGGAAGUAGGCUUCUGGCCUACUUACAUGUUUUCAGGGUUCAGUUCUUAAACUAGGGCAUGUGAUAGAUCCUAGAGGAGUAUCAAACAUUCAAAAAUUAUAGGUUUUGCACAAAUACAGAUCCAGAGAUUGGUAGGGUAAGGAGAAGGUUUUAGCUGUUUCCUUCUGUAUAUUGUGGGGGAGGUGACAUUGUGAAUGGGUCCAUAACCUUUAUAAAACUCUUACAGAUCCACAGACUCAGAACUUUAAGAAAUAUUCUUAUAGAGAAUGAAAAAUAAUCACUAUUUAUUCAUCAGAAAUCUAGUGCUUUGUAGAAGCACCAUGCUGUCUUCGCCCUCAUAAUAAGGAUGACAUGAAAAACAAAUACUCUGAAUAAUUAUGAUGAUUUAUAGUGUGAAAUAUUAUUAUUUUGGUUUUUGUUAUCAAGGUAAGCUUACUGUAGGAAUAUGUUACUCAGGGUGUGAGUAGUAAGCAUGGAAUGAUUUUUCAGUACUAUAAAAGUCCUUUUUUUUGGUAUUAGGAUUUGAACUCAGGACCUCGCAGUUGCCAAGCAGGCACUGUGUCACUGAGCUAUAUGCCUGACCUCAAAAGUUCUUAGCAAAGUAAUUUAAAUGCCAAAACUUCUAGCCCACACUAGGUACUGAAUGAAUAGAGGUUAAUAAAGCUAACAACAACAACAAAACCAGAAGAAUAAGAGAUUUAUACUCACAGGCAGGGAGAAUAGAAGGAACAGUAGCAAGUUUUAAUAGGUUUCAUGAUCUUCAUGAAAUGUGAGUGUUAUAAAGGAAACUUAAGAUUACACACAGUCAUCUAAGACUGAGGGUCAAAGAGGUACAUUUACUUAAACCUGAUUCACAUCAGACUUCACUUUUCUACGCAACUUCUGAGAUCAAACUACAUGCCAUUUGAAGAGAUGAUAAUGCUUACUAGAAUUUGGUUUAUGUUAUGUGUGAAUUUGCUUCUCCAGUUAAAACUGGAGGACAAAACUUUAGAUUAAAGACAAAGCACAUAAACAAGUGUUUUUGCCUGCAGUUCCAGAAUACUAAAAUGGACCUUAGAAUAUACUUAGGUGAACCUUUCUAUUUUAAGGAUGAUGCAAUUGGGACCCAGAAAGGUAAAGUGACUUUUCAAGAAUAAGUUACUAGGGGCUGGGGAUUUAGCUCAGCGGCAUAAGCGCCUGCCCUUGCAAGCAGGCAGUCGUGAGUUUGAUCCCUGGCACCGAUAAAAAUGAAAAAGACAAAAAAAAAAAAAAAAGAAUAAGUUAUUGGCAGAAUCAGUACUAGUAAUCACAGGUCUAAACUUCGAUUAAGACAGGUCAGGUUUUAUAUGAAGACUCUUCCUCUUAAGCACUUACCUCUUUCGUUGGGGCUCCUUUUGUUUGACUCAGAACUCUAAAACACACUGCCCAUUGUGUAUUCUGUAGUGCACACUGCUCCAAUCAGGCCCUAAUCUCCUUCCCAAACCCUUGACGGUCAUGUGCUAACCCAGAUUCCUUUAUGUUUACCUUUUCUGACUCCUCAUUCUUUUCAACAGUUCAAACUACGAAGUUGCUAAAGACUAAUAAUGAUGUCAUUAUUAACUCCUUCUGGGUAUAUAUUCCACAAAAGCCUAUUAGGAGAGGCACUGUCUUAAUGCAAAAAGAUGUUUUUGAAUAAGGAAUAGAUGUACACAGAACAUUCAAACUUUUCUUCCUGAAAAAUAAAACAACUAUUUUUAAGUACAAAAAGUAUAAGUAGGUGGCACAAGGUAAUAAUUUGGGGUGAUGGAAAUGUCCUGUAUCUUGGUUGAGAAGAUGUUACAUGACUAUGCAUUUGUCAAAACUUAUAGAAGCAUACAUCCAAAGGGUAAAACAUACUAGGUAGAAAUUUAAAAAUUAACUAAAAUUUUUUAGUUAAAAGUAUUUAAAAAUUAACUAAAAUUUUUAAGUUAAAAGUAUGGAAAUUUAAAAAUUAACUAAAAUUUUUUAGUUAAAAGUAUGGAAAAAGUAAUUUCAAAGCUUAUUUAUGCCCCCUAAGUUUCCUGCAUACGGACAACCACCAUGAAUGAUGUACCCCAUUGACUUCUAGAAAGUAACAUUCUAAUGACAGAAAUUUAGUCACUGAGGCAGACUGAUUGGGGAGUUAUUUUUAGAAAUUACUUUUUAGUUUUCUUAAACGAUAAAAAUUCCCUAUUCUUAAGUUUGGCACUGGUUGGGGCAAAUGAAAAUGGGAAAAUAAGAAGUGAGAAUUGAAAACAAAGGUGAGAAUUAAGACUGGCACUAAAAUUUUAAUGUACUAGAGGUGUAGAGCCUAAAAUCCUAAAACAAAAACUGGGUUGAAUAAUACAAAGGUGAUUGAUGUCAAAAGUUAUACGUAUUACUCCAGAGCUGUGAUGGAAAGUGUUCUGUUUGAUAGCUUACUUGGAGUGAAUUAUGCCUGCUUCCCAUUCCUGUUUCUGGCAUGUCAUUUGAUUUCUGUGUAGUUUUCAUACCAUGCUUUUAUGUAUUACUCAUGCGAACAUAUCCAUUUGAUUCAUUUGUGAUUGCCAAAUGUAAAAUUAAUAGUUAUGGCAUUCUAUUAACACCUCAAUAUUUAUAUUACCCUGCCACAUUUUUGGCUUGCAGAUCUAUUUUUCUGUCUCUCCCCACAAGAUUGUCACACUCUCACACACAUGCCUGUGUUUAGAUACUAAGAAUUUACCUAGUAUAUCAUCUGACACCUAGUGGUACCCAAUGAAUAUAUGCUGAAGAAACAAAAGCCCUGUUUGAAGCACAAAAGGAAAUGUAAAAAUAAAUAUGAUAUAGUUCCUGUUUUCAAAGGAAGUUAAAACUAAGUGGUCAAAUGCUAUUAAUAUGAUUACUUGUAUAAAAAACACAGGUGAGUAAAGGGAAAGAUCGAGCAUACUCUAUGGAAACCAUUUAUAACAUUAUGAAUCCUAGUGCAAGAGUAUAUGAGAGACCAUUUUAAUAUAACUUUAUAUUGCCUUGGCUGAAGGUGGUAAACCUUACUAAGUAAUAGGAAAAUAUACCAGAUGGAUAUCGCUUAUCUAAAAAUGGUCUACUUGACUGAAAGUAUGUAUUUUAUAUAUGUAAUAUGAGUAUAUAUUAUUAAAUGUUUUAAAAUUUUGUACUAAACUGAGUAUAGAAUAGCCUUUGUUAAAACUGUAUUUUCUUUGAAUUUGUUAUAAAGAAUCAGGCUCCAAGGAAAAUAAUGGUUUCAUUAACUAAAAGGUCCACUCUGGAGCCAUUUUUCAGGCUUCCUUUAGAAAAUAAAUUUAUGUGUUAUGGUAGUAGCUUUUGUGGUUAUGUAAUUACACACACGAUGCCAUGAAGCUGAAUUAUCAAUACAUUUUAUUUUCAAAUAUAUGGGCUUCCCUACCUGUCCGUUAUAGAUGGGUUGUGAUGCAUUGGGAAUCAGACUCCAGUUGAGAGACUUUUGUCCAGGACAAUAAAGAAUAUCUUCAAUGAA